CCUAUUUGAUUAAUUUUAUUAUUUUUUUUUCUUUUAUAGUUUAUCCCUUAGAUUGGAUGAAAUGAACUCAUGACAACCCCUCAGAAGGCUGUUUGGAAAAGAGAAGCAUUUUCAGUGAAGCUACAACCAGGAAAUCACCACUGGCCAGUUCCAGAGACUGUUUCCCAGACAACAGCACAGUCCCCUGCAUCCAUGAGCCGUGCACCACCCUGGACCUGGGCUCAGUCUAACACCUGGAGGCAGCUGCUGCUCC
rnacentral:lncRNA from 12 species